rnacentral:rRNA from 1 species
UCGGGUUAAGUCCCAUAACGAGCGCAACCCUUACUGUUAGUUGCCAAGCCGGGGUAAAUGCCGGGAACUCUAGCGGGACUGCCACCGUAAGGUGAGAGGAAGGUGGGGAUGACGUCAAAUCAGCACGGCCCUUAUGUCCAGGGCUACACACGUGUUACAAUGGCCGGUACAAAGGGCAGCUACACCGCGAGGUGAUGCUAAUCUCGAAAGCCGGUCUCAGUUCGGAUCGAAGUCUGCAACCCGACUUCGUGAAGGUGGAAUCGCUAGUAAUCGCGCAUCAGCAUGGCGCGGUGAAUACGUUCCCGGGCCUU